UACAGAGGUCCCGAGCGUUGUUCGGAUUCAUUGGGCGUAAAGGGUGCGUAGGCGGCGGGGCAAGUCUGAUGUGAAAUCCCGGGGCUCAACCCCGGAACUGCAUUGGAUACUGCCUUGCUUGAGUAUUGGAGAGGGAACUGGAAUUUACGGUGUAGCAGUGAAAUGCGUAGAUAUCGUAAGGAAGGCCAGUGGCGAAGGCGAGUUCCUGGACAGUUACUGACGCUGAGGCACGAAGGCCAGGGGAGCAAACGGG
rnacentral:rRNA from 1 species